AAAGGAAACUGCAGCAGGGCAACAAAACGCACAAAACAACCUCAACAGUGAUUAAAGAAGCGAAGCUGAACUGAUAACCCUGCAAAACAAAACUGCAGUUGCAUAAACAUAGACGGAAAACAAAUCCAGCAGAAAACAUUCACAUCGUGCACAACACAGCUGCAGAAAACAACAUGGAAGGCAGCCAACAAUAAAAAAAUAGAAAUAGACUUGCAGCCGAAACAUAAAAGUACAAAAAUGCAUCAGCACUCAAACAAAAAUUAGUUGCUCCAAAACCCUGAACUAAACUCAGCUCCUUCCCGUAUUCUUAUUAUAAUCCUUACUGAUUAACAUUUUCUUUUAUAUUUUGAGUACUAUAUGCUAACUGAACCUUUACUAACUAUAAACUUUAGGGCUCAACUUGAAGGAACCUUAUUAAAUUUAUUUUAGAAACAAAAAGAAUAGACUGCAAAAAUGUAGUGCUCCUUCCUAUGUCAUUGUUGUUCUAAGCUAAAAAUCAAUUUUAAAACAACUGAUAAAACCUAAUUUUAGUAAUUGUUUUCCUCCUUGAUAAACCUCUUAUUCCUCUUUUACCGGUGCAUCCACAUUAUGCUGUAAAAAAAAUUAGCACAAUAUGUAGGUUUUAGAAUUUUUUAGAAUAAAAGAAAGGAACAAUAAACCUUCAAUAGGUGCCGCCGGCGGCCGCUUUGAGCACUUCGAAAGAGAAAAACAGGAAGGAAUAAAAGAAUUACCAUGUUUUUCCAACAAUUUUGACGGAUGAGAUCGGUGCCAAAUUUGAUUAAGAAUUUGGCGACAUCGAUUCAACAGUGGAGAGAAGUAAUAAAGAACAAACAAUAAACAAACUAAGGACAUAUUAGAGGUUGUCUGAGGCAUGAUUCCAAAUCACAAUAUAAGAAUUUGAAGAAUCUCUAGUCACAUCACAUGGAAGAAAGGAAUGUGAUUACCAUCGCCAAGUUGUGUUUCAUCAUCAUCCUCAACAUUUUCAAAUGUAUUAAGUCCCAACGAUUUCGAAAUUUGAGCACUCACUGCAGCCAAAACACACAAAUCACAAUAUAGGUCAAAUUAUAGGUGAAAGUUCAUCAAAACAUUAUAUCAAACAGAUGGGGGAGGCAAAAGUAAGUGGAAAAACUGAUUCACAAAGCCUACCAUAUAAGAAACAGAUGCACAUUCCAGUUUGGUUUUGUUCAACUUCAGAUAAUAACAAUUGAAAGCAUAACAUGUAUUUUUAAGAUGUAAAUAAAUCAUAUUAAUAGGUUCAUACCAUCAAUUUUCUGCAAGAUUUUCUUGACUUUAUGGUUGCAUCCAUUCCAUAUGUUCAUUUUAAGCACAGAUUUCUGCAUACACAGUAAACAUAAGAUGAAGUUUAAUUUCAUUGUUCAAAAAAUGAAAAAUUAACUAAAAUGGGACAAAUGAUACAUAACACAAAAGCAAAAAUAAAAGAACCAUGGAGAAUGUGAUGGGAUUAC
rnacentral:lncRNA from 1 species